UACCCUUACGUCAAAGCGCGGCGCGUACGCCGGCUGGGAGUGAAGGAAGAAGUUGUGUUCUGGGCCUGGCAUUUUCGUUAAGACUAAUAAGAUCGAGAUGGCAGACUCGUUUGUUAGCGUGGUCAAGAAACUGUGCACCGAGUACGGGAAAACCACCCCGAAAAAGUUGAUGAUUAUUGAUGCUUACCUAGUCCAGAUUUUCAUCACUGGAGUUCUGCAGUUCGUUUACUGUUGCCUAGUCGGCACGUUUCCCUUCAACUCGUUCCUCAGUGGCUUCAUUUCCUGUGUUGGUUCAUUUGUCCUGGGAGUAUGUCUGAGGCUGCAGGUGAACCCCCAAAACAAGAGCGAGUUUAGUGGCAUAAGUCCAGAGAGGGGUUUUGCUGACUUCAUCUUCGCUCAUGUUAUUCUCCACCUGGUGGUGAUGAACUUCAUUGGGUAGACACAUUAACUGCACAGGCGGGCACCAGAUCACGCCGACUGCUCGGGACCGCGCGGCCACUCCCGUUGAUGCAGUCAUUUCAGCACCUGGGCUAUUCACUUGUUUCGACACGAAAAUGCUGGGGUUGUUUGCCGUCGUGAAACGCUGCCUCUUUUGUGUGCUGCCGGCCGCCAUGCGGGUCCGUUACGCCCGCCCCGCUGUACAGGGGACCAUCUGAGACGCUCCGCUGUACGGGGGGCCAUCUGAGACGCUCCGCUGUGCAGGGGACCAUCUGAGACGCUCCGCUGCGCAGGGGACCAUCUGAGAUGCUCCGCUGUUCAGGGUCCACGCGAAGACGGCGCGCAGACGUUCCGCGAGGACCAGUCGCGAAUUGCGUAUUACGUGAAUACAGGCAAAGUGGGUCA